rnacentral:rRNA from 1 species
UAGAUACCCUGGUAGUCCACGCCGUAAACGAUGGGUACUAGGUGUCGGGGUUUCAAUACUCCGGUGCCGCAGUUAACACAUUAAGUACCCCGCCUGGGGAGUACGAUCGCAAGAUUAAAACUCAAAGGAAUUGACGGGGGCCCGCACAAGUAGCGGAGCAUGUGGUUUAAUUCGAAGCAACGCGAAGAACCUUACCUGGGCUUGACAUCCCGAGAAUCCUGUGGAAACAUAGGAGUGCCCUUCGGGGAAC